CUCUCUCUCUCUCUUUCUCUCUCCUGUUCUUCUUCUUCCUCCCUCCCUCGGCUUUGGUUUCUCCUCCUUAUAUUUUAUGUCUUAGAUUCUGGCAAUAAUGAGCUCUUCCUUUUGCCGGUUUCCGAGUUAGAAUUCGAGUACUUUGGAUACUGGAUUUGAUGGAUUUUUCCUGAAAGAAUUUGACACUCGUAGCACCUCGUACCAAAAUUUACAGGCAUCUCAAUCUGUUUGUUCUUUUCCGCCUCCUAUUUGAUGUGUUCAUGGAGGAGGUAUUGGUGUAGUUCUUCUAUAUAUCUGUUGACGAAAAGGCUUCGACUUUUCAUGUUUCUGUUUGGUGUUUCAUUCGGAACGAUAUAGUCCUUACUGCUUCCUUUCAGUUGGUGUGUUCUACUGCAAAGAUUUAGUAGAAACUGGCAAUUUGGAGAAUCCUAAAACAAAAAGGCCAUUUUAUAUUUCAUGUCGAGUUCUGUGGAAGUUCAUCGGAUGAGAGGAGCAUAGAUCUAUCUGCUUGCUUCGAGUACUCGAGCUCCUUUUUAUCGCUUCCUCCAAACUGGUUGAUGCAAGCCACUCAUCAUCCCUUUUUGUCCUUUUUAUUUAUAUUUCUUUUUCUGUCAGUUUUUGCCAAGCCUUUCUGAUUUCUGUCCCAUCCAUCCGAAACUAAACCGAGAAUAAGAGUUCCUCGAAGGUAAGCUUAGGUGAUGAAGGGGUUCAUGAUUCAGCAACACCAACAACUGGCGGAGGAGAACAUGUCCAACCUCACCUCUCCCUCCGGGGAGGCCAGUGUCUCUUCCAACCAGUUAGUCUCCUUGGCCUCCGCAAAUCCAAACCCAGUCAAGAAGAAGAGGAGCCUCCCAGGAAAUCCAGACCCAGAUGCUGAGGUGAUAGCGCUGUCCCCCAAGACACUGAUGGCGACCAACAGGUUCGUGUGUGAGAUCUGCAACAAAGGGUUCCAGCGGGAUCAGAACCUGCAGCUCCACAGGAGGGGCCACAAUCUCCCGUGGAAGCUGAAGCAGAGACCCAAGGAGGUGAGGAAGAAGGUCUACAUCUGCCCGGAGGUGACAUGCGUCCACCACGACCCUUCCAGGGCGCUCGGCGACCUCACCGGGAUCAAGAAGCACUUCAGCAGGAAGCAUGGCGAGAAGAAGUGGAAGUGUGAGAGGUGCUCCAAGAAAUACGCCGUUCAGUCCGAUUGGAAAGCUCACUCCAAGAUCUGUGGCACCAGGGAAUACAGAUGCGACUGCGGCACCCUCUUCUCCAGGAGGGACAGCUUUAUCACUCACCGAGCCUUCUGUGAUGCACUGGCAGAAGAGAGUUCAAGGGGCAUCCCGGCAAACCCUAUGGCUAGUCAUCACCCGCUCCAGUUCUCCCAUCCCUCAACGUCCCUUGACACCUUCCCUCUCCAGCAGACUGUGAUGCUACAGACCCAGUUUCCUCACUUGAUGCGCGCCACAGAGGUCAGCCAUGAGCUGAAAAGAGAGCAGCAGCAGCAGCAGCAUUUCGACGUUAGGUCGGAGACCUCGCCGUGGUUUCAGGCAGCCACUUCCCUCGACCACUUAGCCCACUCGUCCUCUGUCUACUCCUCUAGGCUAGAGCAGGAGUACUCUCAUGAUAACCCGGCGGACGCCCCUCCUCCACCUCCUCUUCCUCCUACCUACCAAGUCCCAGCUUCCUCUCCCCACAUGUCAGCCACUGCAUUGCUCCAGAAGGCAGCUCAGAUGGGUGCAACCGCAAGUAGACCUCCACGCAUCGGUCAGAUGGCAACUCACACUACCCAUUCCUCUUUCAGGGCUCUUCCUGCUUCUGGCUUUGGCCUUGGCUUAUCCUCGCAGCAAGACACGAGUGGUGCUGGUGGUGGAGGAGGAGGAGGAGGAGGAAGUUUUGAACAAGCGUCAGCAGCUUCUCCUCUCCUUCAAGACAUGAUGAUGAACCCUCGCCCUUCGACUCCAGGGUUUGAUGGGUCCUUUGCGGAUGCGUUUGGAGGAAUGCUGGGAUCAAAAAGAGAAGGGAACGACUUCAUGGAUGGUGCUGUUAGAAGCCAAGCGAGGACUGACGUCGGAGGUGGUGGUGGUGGGAAUGAUGGGAUGACAAGAGAUUUCUUAGGCUUAAGGGCUUUCUUCCCACAGGGAUAUCCUUAACCAAAGAUGAAGCAGCGGCACACUAUGUAGUCAUCUCCGCUUGUCUUUGCCCUAAAGGGAGGAAACUUUGCAUUGUAGGGCUCACUGUCAUAAACUUGAUUGCUGUAGCACUCUAGUUUGAUCCUCUGAAUGUUCUUAAAUGACUGUCACAAUAAUUUCUAGCCGAAUAAUGGAACAUUUGUUUGAAAGGCA